UCUACAUUUAUAAGCAAAACUGUUGUUGAUCCAUUGUUUUGGAAAGAACAAAAGGAGCGUAUCACUGUGUGCAAUAACUCAUAAAAUAAAGAACAAAUUUCCACGAAAUUUUGACAGCUGUCUUUGAAGGUUGAUACUACUGAAAGUGAGUCAAAAUUUUCGUUGUAUCAACAAACUUUACGGAAGUUUUGGGCAUCAUAGCAACAGCUACUCCAGAUAUAAAGAAGAUUGAAUUUACAGAUUAGGAGCGGUGUUUCGCCUUGACGAUGAUAUUUGUCCACAACAAAAAGAAAAUUUCAAAUAGAGAGGUUUCGAAUGUGACUAGAGUCCAAAUCCGGAUCGUGCAAAAGAUUUGUAAGGCUUUUUUGAUCCUAGAUCGUCAUUAACUGGAAAAAAGUCGACCCGGAAAUCAUCCAAAAAGUUCAGACCAUGAUCAAUGAUGACCCACCCAGAACCUUCAAUCCCAUUGUUAAGGAUUUAGGGACGAAUAAAGUGACCGUAAGAACCUGCAUGUUGGAGGACCUGGAAUACAAGAGCAACAGGAUGAAAACUGGACGUGAAAUAAUAAAUAAAAAAGAAGUAUUUUCUUUUCUAAUCACUAAAUUUAGUUUUUUUUCUUUUCGCAGAUCUCAUCUUUAAUACUGAGACAUCAAAAAGACUGAUUUAGUUGACAAGCAAAAUGUAAAAUAGACAUUACUAAUUAGUGUUGGAUCGGUCGUUCUUCCCCUUUUCACCCUUUUUUAUUGGUUCGAUCUUUCUUACAAUUCAAUGGUCCCAAGGACAGAUAUAUUGGUCUUUCAGUCCUAUCGUCCUAGCUAAGAUUGAAAAAUAUAAGAAAGAAGAAAAUAAUUAAUGAUAGAUAGUCAUAAAAUAAUACGUUUAAGUCACAUAGCCCCUACUUUUAACUUCAGUUAUCUUGUCUCAUUCAAAGAUAUUAUGAAUUAUGAUUAAACAAACAGCGACUCAAA
rnacentral:lncRNA from 1 species